GGGAAUGUGGCUUAGUGGUAGAGUGCUUACCUAACAUGCAAGAAGCCGUGGGUUCAAUUCCUCAGUACUG
rnacentral:tRNA from 1 species